rnacentral:rRNA from 1 species
CACGUAGGCACCAAGCGUUGUCCGGAUUUAUUGGGCGUAAAGAGCUCGUAGGCGGUUCGGUAAGUCGGGUGUGAAAACUUUGGGCUCAACCCAAAGCCUGCACUCGAUACUGCUGUGACUUGAGUCCGGUAGGGGAGUGGGGAAUUCCUGGUGUAGCGGUGGAAUGCGCAGAUAUCAGGAGGAACACCGGUGGCGAAGGCGGCCACCUGGACCAACAUUGACGCUGAGGCACGAAAGCGUGGGGAGCAAACAGG